GCUCAUAUGAGGAUGUCAAUCUCCUGGUCAGUGUAUGUGGGCACUCCCGAGUGCUGCUGCUGACCAGAAUGCUAAAAAGCAUUCUCCCGCAAACCAAAUUAUCACAAAAUCUGGAUUCUGCCAUUAUUUUUCUCUUGGAUUUAGAUCUCAGGCCCUCUGAAGUUGAUAGGGAUAGCCUAGAAAGAGAGGCUGAUGGUCACAACGGGGCCACUCAGGACCACCACAGGAGCUUAUCAGGAUCUGGCUACAACUCUCCAAACGAACAUUUCCAACUUUUUCCCCUACCCUUAUAACUUGGAAUCAUUGAGAAAUAAAACUGCCCUUGGCACAAAGCCAUAUCAGCUAAGGUGAGAUAACCUGAUAAAAAAGAGAAAUGACCACAGCAGCUGGGCCAUCUUCAUACCUGCUGCCAUGUGGGCCACUCCGAUCACCAGAGACCCUCAAAUCGCAAACAAGUAAAAUCCAUCAGCUUAUAUACUGCCUGCCCUCAGUGCAUCUGAACGUGCAUCAAGUCUGGCAUCUAGAAAUCUUGACUGGCUACCUUCAGGACUCAAAAACUGGGAUUACAAUCUACUCCAACCAUUAACCUUUUUUAUUUUCUUUUGUUUCCACAGAAAUGUUUAUUAAAUACCCAACAGUUUGUACCAUACAGGCCUAACUUGGGUAACCCACCUGUAUCACUGCCUCCUGAAAUAAGACACAAAUCUUUAACUGAACCAACCUAUUCUCAGGACGAAGAGACUGGUUCAAUGAGAUAUGGAGCAUCCACCAACUCAGGACAGGUUUAAACCUACUUAUACCAUAUGGCCUCGAACAAUUUAAAUAGAACUAUCAUUCCAUUUGUAACUGCGUGGAUGGAACUAGAGGGUAUUAUGCUAAGUGAAAUUAGAGAAAGACAAAAAUCAUCUGACUUCACUCAUAUGAGGACUUUAAGAGACAAAACAGAUGAACAUAAGAGAAGGGAAGCAAAAAUAAUAUAAAAACAGGGAGGGAGCAUGGGCUAAAUGGGGGAGGGGCAUUAAGGAAUCUGCUCCUGAAAUCAUUAUUGCACCAUAUGCUAACUAACUUGGAUGUAAAGUAAAUAAUAAAGGAAACUACAAAAACUCUUAA